UACGAAGGGGGCUAGCGUUGUUCGGAAUCACUGGGCGUAAAGCGCACGUAGGCGGAUCUUUAAGUCAGGGGUGAAAUCCCGAGGCUCAACCUCGGAACUGCCUUUGAUACUGGGGAUCUCGAGUCCGGGAGAGGUGAGUGGAACUGCGAGUGUAGAGGUGAAAUUCGUAGAUAUUCGCAAGAACACCGGUGGCGAAGGCGGCCCACUGGAUCGGUACUGACGCUGAGGUGCGAAAGCGUGGGGAGCAAACAGG
rnacentral:rRNA from 1 species